UUAGUYUCUUAAUUAGGGACUGGAAUGAAUGGUUUGACGAAAUAAUCGCUGUCUUAGUUGUAUUAAAUAUUGAAUUUCACUUUUUAGUUAAAAGGCUUAAAUGUGGGUARGGGACGAGAAGACCCUAUAGAUCUUUAUUAUAAGGUAUUGAUAAUUGAUUURGUUGGUCUGAUUUUAUGAAUACCUAAUAAUUUUGUUGGGGUGACAAUAGAAAUGAAAAAACUUCUAAUGAAGUUACUUGGAUUGAUGGAUAAGGAAUCCUUUAUUAAGGAAUUAAGAUUAAGAUACCUUAGGGAUAACAGCGUUAUUUUAUUUGAGAGUUCUUAUUGAAAAUAAAGUUUGCGACCUCGAUGUUGGAUUAAGAGAAUUUUUUGGUGUAGAASCUAAUGAAAUUAGUCUGUUC
rnacentral:rRNA from 1 species